GGGGGUGUAGCUCAGUGGCAGAGUACUUGCCUAGCACAUAUGAGGCCUUGGGUUCCAUCCCCAGCACUGCCA
rnacentral:tRNA from 1 species